rnacentral:rRNA from 1 species
GACGAACCGUGCGAACGUUGUUCGGAUUCACUGGGCUUAAAGGGCGCGUAGGCGGGCCGCCAAGUCUGUGGUGAAAGCCCCCGGCUCAACCGGGGAAGUGCCGCGGAUACUGGCGGUCUCGAGGGGUGUAGGGGCAUGCGGAACUUCCGGUGGAGCGGUGAAAUGCGUAGAUAUCGGAAGGAACGCCGGUGGCGAAAGCGGCGUGCUGGACACCUACUGACGCUGAGGCGCGAAAGCCAGGGGAGCAAACGGG